UUGGGUGGGAGAGUUGAAGCCUCACUGUGGGCCUGCUGAACUUUUCUUCCUGUCCUAUUUUUGUGUCUUCAACAUGAAGACUCAAGGACACCAGGAGAUAGCUAUGGCUCUGGGGGGUACCAGAAGGCCAGGAUUCUGGAAGACACGGUCCCGGUCUCCAUGAAACAAUGCUCAUCUAAGAAACAAUUAUAUAUGCAUAGGAUGUUGGGAGCCAGAAUUCCCAAACUGGUUCAAGAGGGAGACUGAGGACCUACCUGUUUAAGGAAGGCUUCCAUGAGCAGAUAACAAAUCUCAAAUUCCAAAGAGACUUAAGUGAUUCACUUGAUGACUUCCUGAUGAUGGAGGAACUGAGUCCCAGAAAAGCAACUGGCCCAACAUCACCAAAGGCAAUACAUGGCUGUCGUUCUCCUGAUUCCGGUGCCUUUUGCUUGGUCACUGCUCUAAGAUUCUGUAAGUCUGAAGUAACUGUCAUCUAUGUCCCCUUCUCCCAGCCUACAAGACUACUGCUCUAGACCAAACUCUUGUUGCGUCUCUCUCCUGACUGUGGCAAUAUGUCCCAUUCCUAUUCAUCCUCCCCCUAGCUGCCAAAGUGAGUUUCCUGAAAGAUGAUUCUGACCAUGAUCUCCCCCUAUUCAAUAA